CUCCACUCUGGGCAAAUGAAGAGGGGUUGCUGCAUUUUAUGGUGGCAUGUCCACCAUAUUUUUUCAAAAUUAUUUGGUCAAGAAUGGAUCUUAGGUGACUGGAUUUCAAUCAAUUAGGAUUAAUAGGCAAAAGUUGAUCCAACAAAAGUUAAUUUAAAGUAUCCAAAAUUUUCCUCUUAGACGGAAAAAAUGUAGAAUGAGAGCACUGUAUGCCUGUUUGUGUAGGGAUGCUGCUAAAUCUAAUUACAUAAAGUUGAUCUGCGUAUCAAAACCACACGUAAGUAAAGUCAUUAUUGUUGUCUCUGAUCAUUGCCAACAGGUUGCCAACUCAAGAAGCAACGGAAAGACCUAAGACUUCUGUCUGUUUUUCUUAAAAAGAAAGCUUUUGGAAAGAGCUAAGAUUUCUGUAUUAAAAUUUUUUUUUGAAAUCCUUUUGGUAUAUUCUUAGCCAUUUAUAAAUUAUCAUCUUGGCCCACCCAAGGUCACCAGUCCUCGAGGUGCACGGCAUGGUGUUCUUUGGCUUUCUCCAAAGGCCAGCAAGCUGAGUUGCCGAUAUCCUUGUGAUGUAAUCAUAACAUGCAAAAGUGUAGCGUCCAACGUGAAGCAUGAUUGCAUACAUACAUAAAUUUUGUCUGGCCCAUGGAACUAACACCAAUGACAGGGAGGAAGCCUUUGUUGGAAAUGUUCAAAAUAAGUGCAUAUGGCUAGCUCAUGAAGCAUGAGUGUGAGUGGUUAGAGAGAGUGAGAGAGAGAGCUACCUAAUUCUAAACAUGAAGCAUAGGAAGUAGUCNNNNNNNNNNNNNNNNNNNNAGGGAGAGAGCUGCCUAAUUCUAAAUAUGAAGCAUGGGUAUAAGUGGGUUGACUUAGACCGCUACCUAACUCAGAUUUUGACCUAUUCAUUCUUGAGUCGAGAUUACCACAUAGAUUAACUUGUGACAACAAUGACCACUGUUUUAAAUCUAAUUUAAGAUUUACUACUUUCAAUAUUGAUUUUGUUUUGUUGUGACUAAGGGUUUUUAAAGGAUCAGUCACUUAUUUUGACUAUUCGAUGUGAACGGUUACUAUUUGCAUCUGUUUAUUUUUUACAAACGAGACUACAGAGCUUGUGAGAAAGUUAACAUAUACAGACAAAGCUCUUAUAAACAAUCUAUUAAAGCUCCUUUGCUUUCAACAACUUGUUUUUUUCUCAUUUUUUUGGUUGGGUGCUUUGGUUCACAACAUCUUUAAGGAGUGCAGUGCUUGGAGAUCUUAAAGUUAGGCAUCCUAUCCUGGAAAUAGGAAUCACUAUCUUAAAGAAAGCAGUAUAAUUAGCGUGCCUUGGCUAACCAAAGCCUUCUUUGUUCCUAUUGCUUUAAUUCUUCUCCAUUCCACUUUAGUCUAUACCCAAUUGUCCAACAUCAGAAGGGAGGGAAAGAAGAUGAAACGCAGAGGGGAGGGAAUUCCAUAAUUUCUUUAGAGCUUAGCCCUUGACGCAGAGAUCCAUGAAGAAUCUAGAGAUCAGACCGAGCUCCAUAGAGCCUCAGCUGAUUUUGAGGAAUCCUGAAGAUGCAGGCAUGUAGUUCAAUGUAAUUGCUUUAAAGAAGAGUCAUGCUGAUUAAACUGUGUCAAAAGAAUGAGUUGGCGGUGCGAUGUUUAAGCUCAGCUUGUUUUCUGCAUGAGCAUUUAUGAAGCCAAAUUUUGGGCCAAAUGCAGUCUGUUAAACAGAUCACUCGUUCAUUUGGCAACUCUAUUCUGAUUGUUUGACGUCCUUAUCCAGUUUUGGUUGACCAAAUAUCGCGAAUCGUAGGAUUGCCUUUUUUCUUUAAACAUUAGAACGCAUUCGUGAUAUAGAGGGAGAGAGACCUGGUGUAGACUCUAACUGUGUAUUGAUGGUUGUCGUAAAGGAGGUGAAGGUGAGAUUAAGGGCUUGUUCAUUUUCUAGUUGAAGAUACAUGAACCUGCUUGCUCUAGUAAGAAUUAAUUCUGAGGCAUUAUGAUGUUGAAAAAAAGACCUUCGGGGACUAGUCCAAACCUGCAUAGUUACACCAUCCAUUCUACAGGCAUCCAUUUUUUCUGCUGCUCAGAGCUCAGUCAGAACUUCACAAUGACUACAGGAGCCAGCUUAUAUUCACCAGGAUCAGUCCAUAUCCUACGGUCCUGGUAAACAAGCUCCGACCAAAUUGACUCAGUAAAAUUGUUUGUUUUUGUGAUUAGAAGACUCUCAUCUUCCUCUUUUUCCUUUUAUUCUCUUUUCUUAGUGUGAUCCUUUUCUGGAACUUCUAGAAGUUCUAAGACAAGUAGAUUUGAUGCAUCAAGUUUGAACUUCAAACUAAAUUUGGCUUAAUUUGUCAAAAUUUCAGCUUGGAAUGAUACAGUUGAAGAAGCAUGCCAGAAUGGCAUUGCAGUUAUUGCAGAACCAGGAGGGAGUAUUAGGGAUCAGGAUGCUGUGGACUGCUGUAAUAAGUAUGGUGUUUCUCUUCUUUUCACAAAUGUGAGGCACUUCAGGCACUGAAGGUGAAAUAAUAUGAACCCUGCUGUGCAAAAGAAUGCCUUGAAGGUACAAAUAAGGUUCUGUUAAGAUUAAGUGCGCAAGCCAAGGCUUUUGGGAAUAACCUAGAUUUUUGGUUAAUUUGAAUCGAAACCGGAGAUUCUAAUCCGGUAUGCUGAAAUUAAUUAAAUUUUGUUGGGCCUUAAAUUUCUUUAGGAUGCUUUUCUUUUUCAUAUCUAAGUUAUCGAUCACAAAUGUUUUGAGUAUGAAAAUUUGGUGUGCGAGUCACUUUUGGCAAUAAUCCAUUGCACAUGAUUUCUCCUCUCGACGAAAAAUAUUCGGUCAGCAGGUGACUUAAAUAGUUUGCAUCUUCAUGAAGUUUAUGUCAAUUUUGUUGAGAAAUAUCUUAUGGCACAGCUGGGUCAUGUAGAUUUUGGAUUUUGCCAAUGGUAAUCCGAAUUGGUCCUAAUCCACAUGAUGUAUAUCCCUAUGAGUCUCUGACUCUGUCCUACCAUGAGACAAUACCCCAUAGCCUCUGGGCCAGCAAGAUUAAUGCUUUCUUCUUCUUCUUCUUCUUCUUAUUUAUUUAUUUAUUUAUUUUUAUUUAUUUUUCUUAAGAACAAGAUUAAUGUUUGUUGGUUAGCUUUACCUCCGCUCUGGUCAAAUGAAGGGAGGUUGCUGCAUUUUAAGGUGGCAUGUCCACCAUAUUUUUCCAAAAUUAUUUGGUCAAGAAUGGAUCUUUGGUGACUGGAUUUCAAUCAAUUAGGAUUAAUAGGCAAAAGUUGAUCCAACAAAAGUUAAUUUAAAGUCUCCAAAAUUUUCCUCUUAGAGGGGAAAAAUGUAGAAUGAGAGCACUGUAUGCCUGUUUCUGUACGGAUGCUGCUAAAUCUAAUUACAUAAAGUUGAUCUGCGUAUCAGAACCACACGUAAGUAAAGUCAUUAUUGUUGUCUCUGAUCAUUGCCAACAGGUUGCCAACUCGAGAAGCAACGGAAAGACCUAAGACUUCUGUCUGUUUUUCUUAAAAAGAAAGCUUUUGGAAAGAGCUAAGAUUUCUGUAUUAAAAUUUUUUUUCGAAAUCCUUUUGGUAUAUUCUUAUCCAUUUAUAAAUUAUCAUCUUGGCCCACCCAAGGUCACCAGUCCUCGAGGUGCACGGCAUGGUGUUCUUUGGCUUUCUCCAAAGGCCAGCAAGCUGAGUUGCGGAUAUCCUUAUGAUGUAAUCAUAACAUGCAAAGGUGUAGCGUCCAACGUGAAGCAUGAUUGCAUACAUACAUAAAUUUUGUCUGGCCCAUGGAACUAACACCAGUGACAGGGAGGAAGCCCUUGUUGGAAAUGUUCAAAAUAAGUGCAUAUGGCUAGCUCAUGAAGCAUGAGUGUGAGUGGUUAGAGAGAGUGAGAGAGCUACCUAAUUCUAAACAUGAAGCAUAGGAAGUAGUUAGAGAGAGAGAGAGAGCGCCACCUAUUUCUAAACAUGUAGCGAGAGAGAGAGAGGAGGGAGAGAGCUGCCUAAUUCUAAAUAUGAAGCGUGGGUAUAAGUGGGUUGACUUAGACCGCUAUCUAACUCAGAUUUUGAUCUAUUCAUUCUUGAGCUGAGAUUACCACGUAGAUUAACUUGUGACCACAACGGUCACUGUUUUAAAUCUAACUUAAGAUUUACUACUUUCAAUCUUGAUUCUGUUUUGUUGUGACUAGGGGUUUUUAAAGGAUCAGUUACUUAUUUUGACUAUUCGAUAUGAACGGUUACUAUUUGCAUCUGUUUAUUUUUUACAAACGAGACUACAGAGCUUGUGAGAAAGUUAACAUAUACAGACAAAGCUCUUACAAACAAUCUAUUAAAGCUCCUUUGCUUUCGACAAUUUGUUCUUUUCUCAUUUUUUUGGUUGGAUGCUUUAGUUUACAACAUCUUUAAGGAGUGCAGCGCUUGGAGAUCUUAUAGUUAGGCAUCCUAUUCUGGAAAUAGGAAUCACUAUCUUAAAGAAAGCAGUAUAAUUAGCAUGCCUUGGCUAACCAAACCCUUCUUUGUUCCUAUUGCUUUAAUUCUUCUCCAUUCCACUUUAGUCUAUACCCAAUUGUCCAACAUCAGAAGUGAGGGAAAGAAGAUGAAACCUAGAGGGGAGGGAAUUCCAUAAUUUCUUUAGAGCUUAGCCCUUGACGCAGAGAUCCAUGAAGAAGCUAGAUAUCAGACCGAGCUCCAUAGAGCCUCAGUUGAUUUUGAGGAAUCCUGAAGAUGCAGGCAUGUAGUUCAAUGUAAUUGCUUUAAAGAAGAGUCAUGCUGAUUAAACUGUGUCAAAAGAAUGAGUUGGCUGUGCGAUGUUUAAGCUCAGCUUGUUUUCUGCGUGAGCAUUUAUGAAGCCAAAUUUUGGGCCAAAUGCAGUCUGUUAAACAGAUCACUCGUUCAUUUGGCAACUCUAUUCUGAUUGUUUGACGUCCUUAUCCAGUUUUGGUUGACCAAAUAUCGCGAAUCGUAGGAUUGCCUUUUUUCUUUAAACAUUAGAAUGCAUCCAUGAUAUAGAGGGAGAGAGACCUGGUGUAGACUGUGACAGUGUAUUGAUGGUUGUCGUAAAGGAGGUGAAGGUGAGAUUAAGGGCUUGUUCAUUUUCUAGUUGAAGAUACAUGGACCUGCUAGCUCUUGUAAGAAUUAAUUCUGAGGCUCUAUGAUGUUGAAAAAGGACCUUCGGGGACUAGUCCAAUCCUGCAUGGCUACACCAUCCAUCCUAUAGGCAUCCAUUGUUUCUGCUGCUCAGAGCUCGGUCAGAACUUCACCAUGACUACAGGAGCCAGCUUAUAUUCACCAGGAUCGGUCCAUAUCCUACGGUCCUGGUAAAUAAGCUCUGACCAAAUUGACUCAGUAAAAUUGUUUGUUUUUGUGAUAAGAAGACUCUCAUCUUCCUCUUUUUCCUUUUAUUCUCUUUUCUUAGUGUGAUCCUUUUCUGGAAUUUCUAGAAGUUCUAAGACAAGUAGAUUUGAUGCAUCAAGUUUGAACUUCAAACUAAAUUUGGCUUAAUUUGUCAAAAUUUCAGCUUAGAAUGAUGCAGUUGAAGAAGCAUGCCAGAAUGGCAUUGCAGUUAUUGCAGAACCAGGAGGGAGUAUUAGGGAUCAGGAUGCUGUGGACUGCUGUAAUAAGUAUGGUGUUUCUCUUUUCACAAAUGUGAGGCACUUCAGGCACUGAAGGUGAAAUAAUCUGAACCCUGCUGCGCAAAAGAAUGCCUUGAAGGUACAAAUAAGGUUAUGUUAAGAUUAAGUGCGCAAGCCAAGGCUUUUGGGAAUAACUUAAUUUUUUGGUUAAGUUGAAUCGAAACUGGAGAUUCUAAUCCUGUACUGUUGAAACUAAUUAAAUUUUGUAGGGCCUUAAAUAUCUUUAGGACGCUUUUCUUUUUCAUAUCUAAGUUAUCGAUCACAAAUGUUUUGAGUAUGAAAAUUUGGUGCGUGAGUCACUUUUGGGAAUAGUCCAUUGCACAUGAUUUUUCCUCUCGACGUAAAAGAUUUGGUCAGCAGGUGACUUAAAUAGUUUGCAUCUUCAUGAAGUUUAUGUCAAUUUUGUUGAGAAAUAUCUUAUGGCACAGCUGGGUCAUGUAGAUUUUGGAUUUUGCCAAUGGUAAUCCGAAUUAGUCCCAAUCCACAUGAUGUAUAUCCCUAUGAGUCUCUGACUCUGUCCUACCAUGAGACAAUACCCCAUAGCCUCUGGGCCAGCAAGAUUAAUGCUUUCUUCUUCUUCUUCUUCUUUUUAUUUAUUUAUUUUAUUUUUUUUUUAUUUUUUUUUUUCUUUAAGAACAAGAUUAAUGUUUGUUGGUUAGCUUUACCUCCACUCUGGGCAAAUGAAGAGAGGUUGCUGCAUUUUAAGGUGGCAUGUCCACCAUAUUUUUUCAAAAUUAUUUGGUCAAGAAUGGAUCUUUGGUGACUGAAUUUCAAUCAAUUAGGAUUAAUAGUUAGAAGUUGAUCCAACAAAAGUUAAUUUAAAGUAUCCAAAAUUUUUCUCUUAGAGGGGAAAAAUGUAGAAUGAGAGCACUGUAUGCCUGUUUCUGUAGGGAUACUGCUAAAUCUAAUUACAUAAAGUUGAUCUGCGUAUGAAAACCACACGUAAGUAAAGUCAUUAUUGUUGUCUCUGAUCAUUGCCAACAGGUUGCCAACUCGAGAAGCAACGGAAAGACCUAAGACUUCUGUCUGUUUUUCUUAAAAAGAAAUCUUUUGGAAAGAGCUAAGAUUUCUGUAUUAAAAAAACUUUUUCGAAAUCCUUUUGGUAUAUUCUUAGCCAUUUAUAAAUUAUCAUCUUGGCCCACCCAAGGUCACUAGUCCUCAAGGUGCACGGCAUGGUGUUCUUUGGCUUUCUCCAAUGGCCAGCAAGUUGAGUCGCCUCUAUCCUUGUGAUGUAAUCAUAACAUGCAAAAAUGUAGCGUCCAACGUGAAGCAUGAUUGCAUACAUACAUAAAUUUUGUCUGGCCCGUGGGACUAACAUAAAUUUUGUCUGGCCCGUGGAACUAACACCAAUGACAGGGAGGAGGCCCUUGUUGGAAAUGUUUAAAAUAAGUGCAUAUGGCUAGCUCAUGAAGCAUGAGUGUGAGUGGUUAGAGAGAGAGAGUGCUACCUAAUUCUAAACAUGAAGCAUAAGAAGUAGUUAGAGAGAGAGAGAGAGAGCCACCUAUUUCUAAACAUGAAGCAUGGCGAGAGAGGGAGAGAGUUGCCUAAUUCUAAAUAUGAAGCAUGGGUGUAAGUGGGUUGACUUAGACCGCUACCUAAUUCAGAUUUUGACCUAUUCAUUCUUGAGCCGAGAUUACCAUAUAGAUUAAUUGUGCUAGAUUGGGG
rnacentral:lncRNA from 1 species